rnacentral:lncRNA from 1 species
UUACGCUUGUCUCUUCACUCUCUGCGAACCAAACGGGCGGCGAGGAUGGAUACGUUUCCUGAAAAUAAGCAAAAAGAGGAUAUAAAUCAUUAAAAAUUAUAUAUUAAUUAAAAAGCAAGAACUUUGAGAAAAGCAUCGAACUCCAAUGAAUGGACCGCCAAAAUCCGCGCAAAUAUUGGUGUUAAAGUGAACUUAUUUAUUAACAACAAACAAAUUUUGGAAGGAUCGAUUAUUAUUUCUAAGAUCUUCGUGAGGAGGAACACAAGUUGGACCGACUACAUAGUCGUAUUUGCGGUGUGGGCAUAUUUGGAGCCAUCUUCUAAUAAGGGACGUGCGAACUAUAAAUUUCACACUGUCCGGAUAUUUAUGCCUAGGAUUGAAGAACAGAAGCCGAUUUCCUGAAGUGGGCACCUUACUCACCUAACAUCAACGGAAUAGAAAUGCUGUCCAAUGCCAGUCUGACCUGUAGUAUUUCACUAAAGAGAAAUUAUAAAUUAUAUAGAAAAUUGUACGAAUCGGUACCCAAUCGGAUCUUUGAAAUCAUUCUCAACAAGGUGGGAUUGAGUCAUUAUUAAAAUAAUAUACAGAAGUUUAAAUUUGUUAAUACAAAUUAUAAAAUGUGCU